GACGAACGCUGGCGGCGUGCUUAACACAUGCAAGUCGAACGCUGAAGCUCAGCUUUUGUUGGGUGGAUGAGUGGCGAACGGGUGAGUAACACGUGAGUAACCUGCCUCCUUCUUUGGGAUAACGCCCGGAAACGGGUGCUAAUACUGGAUAUUCACUGGUCUUCGCAUGGGGGUUGGUGGAAAGGGUUUUUCUGGUGGGGGAUGGGCUCGCGGCCUAUCAGCUUGUUGGUGGGGUGAUGGCCUACCAAGGCUUUGACGGGUAGCCGGCCUGAGAGGGUGACCGGUCACAUUGGGAGUGAGAUAGGGCCCAGACUCCUACGGGAGGCAGCAGUGGGGAAUAUUGCGCAAUGGGCGCAAGCCUGAUGCAGCGACGCCGCGUGAGAGAUGGAGGCCUUCGGGUUGUGAACCUCUUUCGCUCAUGGUCAAGCCGCAACAAUAGUUGUGGUGAGGGUAGUGGGUAAAGAAGCGCCGGCUAACUACGUG
rnacentral:rRNA from 1 species